UACGUAGGCAGCAAGCGUUGUUCGGAGUUACUGGGCGUAAAGAGUGUGUAGGCGGUCAGCUAAGUUCGGUGUGAAAUCUCCCGGCUCAACUGGGAGGGUGCGCCGAAGACUGGCAGGCUUGAGUGCGGGAGAGGAAAGCGGAAUUCCUGGUGUAGCGGUGAAAUGCGUAGAUAUCAGGAGGAACACCUGCGGUGUAGACGGCUUUCUGGACCGUAACUGACGCUGAGACACGAAAGCGUGGGUAGCAAAC
rnacentral:rRNA from 1 species